CGGGGUGGAUUAGUGGCGAACGGGUGAGUAACACGUGGGCAAUCUGCCCUUCACUCUGGGACAAGCCCUGGAAACGGGGUCUAAUACCGGAUAACACUCUGUCCCGCAUGGGACGGGGUUAAAAGCUCCGGCGGUGAAGGAUGAGCCCGCGGCCUAUCAGCUUGUUGGUGGGGUGAUGGCCUACCAAGGCGACGACGGGUAGCCGGCCUGAGAGGGCGACCGGCCACACUGGGACUGAGACACGGCCCAGACUCCUACGGGAGGCAGCAGUGGGGAAUAUUGCACAAUGGGCGAAAGCCUGAUGCAGCGACGCCGCGUGAGGGAUGACGGCCUUCGGGUUGUAAACCUCUUUCAGCAGGGAAGAAGCGAGAGUGACGGUACCUGCAGAAGAAGCGCCGGCUAACUACGUGCCAGCAGCCGCGGUAAUACGUAGGGCGCAAGCGUUGUCCGGAAUUAUUGGGCGUAAAGAGCUCGUAGGCGGCUUGUUGCGUCGGUUGUGAAAGCCCGGGGCUUAACCCCGGGUCUGCAGUCGAUACGGGCAGGCUAGAGUGUGGUAGGGGAGAUCGGAAUUCCUGGUGUAGCGGUGAAAUGCGCAGAUAUCAGGAGGAACACCGGUGGCGAAGGCGGAUCUCUGGGCCAUUACUGACGCUGAGGAGCGAAAGCGU
rnacentral:rRNA from 1 species